rnacentral:misc_RNA from 1 species
GUAGGUGCUGGUUCGCCCGCUGAGGUCUACCACGACUAUAAAGAAAGGUGCAGUCUACAUCUGUAGGCAACAUCUCUACUGUGCUAGAAGUUACAAUUCUUGUAUUACUAGCAGCAUGUUCAUUUGUGUCCACAGAUCAAAUAGAGGUGGCCCAUGAGGGUUAAGACAUGAUCGAAUUGAAGCCUGAAAUGGCAUCUUUGGAAAACAUGCAUGUGUGGGAGAGAGGUAGCCCCCCUUCAUCAAGCAAAUUUUCCUCUAGAGUGGAACCUGCGGAAGGAUCAUUAUAGAGAAUGCCCCCUUUGGGUAGAUCUCCCACCCUUUGUUUACAUUACUAUGUUGCUUUGGCAGGCCUGCCUUACCGCUACUGGCUUCGGCUGGUCAGUGCCUGCCAAAGGACCCCAAAUUCUUGGUUGAUGUUGUCUGAGUGUAUUAUAAUAAUUAAAACUUUCAACAACGGAUCUCUUGGUUCUG